GCUACAAUAAACCAUAACCACGGGCACCGCGGCUUUCAGUGACUUAUGAGUCAUGCUAGCAAGUUAGUGAAACUUCAGGUUUUAAAUUUUGAAUCUUAUUGCUUCUGUGAACAGUGUUGAAGAUCAUCUCAUUGAUUACCAAAUGUUUUGAAACAAGCCUAUAAAGCUGCCCUAACAGAAUGCAAAGAGAAAUUUUGAGAAUCAAAACCUGUGACUUCCUUUGCAAAACAAAGAACUGAUUACAUGUUUAGUCAAUAAAUGAAGAAUGGCUGGUU